GUGCCAGCAGCCGCGGUAAUACCCGCAGCACAAGUGGUGGUCAUUAUUAUUGGGCCUAAAGCGUCCGUAGCUGGCCUGUUAGAUGCCUGGGUAAAUCGAUGCGCUCAACGUAUCGAACUCCGGGUAGACCGGCAGGCUUGGGACCGGGAGAGGCGUGAGCUACUCGGGGGGUAGGGGUAAAAUCCUGUAAUCCUCCGGGGAGGACCAGUGGCGAAGGCGUCACGCUAGAACGGCUCCGACAGUGAGGGACGAAGCCCUGGGGCGCAAACCGGAUUAGAUACCCUAGUAGUCC
rnacentral:rRNA from 1 species